AUAUGUUUUGAGAUAUGUCUCAUGAUAUAUCAUCUCUAGAAGUGUACUAUUCAACUUUUCUUUUAGUUAAAGGAGGAAAAGAAAAUCACAAAACUCAAUACUAUCAAAUCACAA